GACGAACGCUGGCGGCGUGCCUAAUACAUGCAAGUAGAACGCUGAAGAGAGGAGCUUGCUCUUCUUGGCUGAGUUGCGAACGGGUGAGUAACGCGUAGGUAACCUGCCUUGUAGCGGGGGAUAACUAUUGGAAACGAUAGCUAAUACCGCAUAACAAUGGAUGACCCAUGUCAUUUAUUUGAAAGGGGCAAAUGCUCCACUACAAGAUGGACCUGCGUUGUAUUAGCUAGUAGGUGAGGUAACGGCUCACCUAGGCGACGAUACAUAGCCGACCUGAGAGGGUGAUCGGCCACACUGGGACUGAGACACGGCCCAGACUCCUACGGGAGGCAGCAGUAGGGAAUCUUCGGCAAUGGGGGCAACCCUGACCGAGCAACGCCGCGUGAGUGAAGAAGGUUUUCGGAUCGUAAAGCUCUGUUGUAAGUCAAGAACGAGUGUGAGAGUGGAAAGUUCACACUGUGACGGUAGCUUACCAGAAAGGGACGGCUAACUACGUG
rnacentral:rRNA from 1 species